GUGUCAGCCGCCGCGGUAAAACCAGCACCUCAAGUGGUCAGGAGGAUUAUUGGGCCUAAAGCAUCCGUAGCCUGCUCUGUAAGUUUCCGGUUAAAUCCAUUAGCUCAACUGAUGGGCCGCCGGAAAAACUGCAAAGCUAGGGAGUGGGAGAGGUAGACGGUACUCGGUAGGAAGGGGUAAAAUCCUUUGAUCUAUUGAUGACCACCUGUGGCGAAGGCGGUCUACCAGAACACGUUCGACGGUGAGGGAUGAAAGCUGGGGGAGCAAACCGGAUUAGAUACCCGGGUAGUCCCAGCUGUAAACGAUGCAGACUCGGUGAUGCCCUGGCUUGUGGCCAGUGCAGUGCCGCAGGGAAGCCGUUAAGUUUGCCGCCUGGGAAGUACGUACGCAAGUAUGAAACUUAAAGGAAUUGGCGGGGGAGCACCACAAGGGGUGAAGCCUGCGGUUCAAUUGGAGUCAACGCCAGAAAUCUUACCCGAGGAGACAGCAGAAUGAAGGUCAAGCUGGAGACUUUACCAGACAAGCUGAGAAGUGGUGCAUGGCCGUCGCCAGCUCGUGCCGUGAGAUGUCCUGUUAAGUCAGGUAACGAGCGAGAUCCCUGCCUCUAGUUGCCACCAUUACUCUCAGGAGUAGUGGGGCGAAUUAGCGGGACCGCCACAGUUAAUGUGGAGGAAGGAAGGGGCCACGGCAGGUCAGUAUGCCCUGAAACCUUGGGGCCACACGCGGGCUGCAAUGAUAGUGACAAUGAGUUCCUAAACCGAAAGGUGGAGGCAAUCUUCAAACGCUAUCACAGUUAUGAUUGAGGGCUGCAACUCGCCCUCAUGAAUAUGGAAUCCCUAGUAACUGCGUGUCAUUACCGCGCGGUGAAUACGUCCCUGCUCCUUGUACACACCGCCCGUC
rnacentral:rRNA from 1 species